rnacentral:rRNA from 1 species
UACGUAGGGUGCGAGCGUUGUCCGGAAUUAUUGGGCGUAAAGGGCUCGUAGGCGGUCUGUUGCGUCGGAAGUGAAAACUCAGGGCUUAACCCUGAGCCUGCUUCCGAUACGGGCAGACUAGAGGUAUGCAGGGGAGAACGGAAUUCCUGGUGUAGCGGUGAAAUGCGCAGAUAUCAGGAGGAACACCGGUGGCGAAGGCGGUUCUCUGGGCAUUACCUGACGCUGAGGAGCGAAAGUGUGGGGAGCGAACAGG